UCCCUCCGAUUGAAAAUUAAACAUUGCGCAAAAACUAAAGAGACACCGCUAAACCUAAACACACAAUCAAAGACACUAAAGUCAUCUUCUUCGUCAAGCUGCGCCGCAUGUCGGGGUCCGCUGCUCUCGCCUCUAAGCUCAUCGCCGUCUGGCAUGCCACUGGCCGCGAAAUCGCCCGCCACUGCGGCACUGACGCUGCGCAGUUCCUUCUCAUCGAGGGCGGCAGCUGCGCCCUCCUCCUCUCUCUCGCUGUGCUCGCUGUCACCGUUCUCCUCCCGCUCAACAUCUCCGGUGGCACCGCCGUCAUCGACGAUGGCUUCUCCAGAACCACGAUCACGAACAUAGAGAAGGGGUCCUCUCUUCUCUGGAUUCACUUCCUUUUCGCCGUUGUCAUGGUGUUUUUGGUUCACUUCGGGAUUUCGGUCACCGAGGAGCGUUUGAGAGGGCACCCUUGGCCACUGACAUUUACUGGAAGAACAUGGGGACGCCGAGGAUGUCGCUGAAGUCGCUCAAUAAGGAGAUUGCGUGAAUAUAUAUGGCUAAAUGAUUGAUGAUGCUGAGGGGUUAGAGAAAAUUGAGAACCUACAGAGUUAUGAUAACACUGAGAUUUAUGAAAAGGCAGUGAAGAUUCUUGAGACAUACUGGACGGAGGAAGAUGAUGAAACUGUGCCUCCACGGGAUGCUUCUCAGUCAGGGUUCAACUUUGGUGGUCACGAAUUUCCUUCAGUGCCUUCUGGUGGUUUCAACUUUAAUUAGAAGCAUGAUGGUGAAGAUCAAGAUGAAGAAGAGUCAUAAAAAAUUUAAAUGGUACAUGUCUGAAGAUCAAGAUGAAAGAGGAAUGAAACUGUAGAGAAGAUAAAUUGUACAUUUUUUAUUUUUAUUUAGUUGUAAUUACUUUUAUUUUUAUUUAGUUGUAAUUACUUUACUUGGAAAUGUAGACAAUAUUACAAUAUAUGGAAAAAUUUUAAUUUCGUUAUA